GAUGAACGCUGGCGGCGUGCCUAAUACAUGCAGGUCGAGCGAACGGACGAGAAGCUUGCUUCUCUGAUGUUAGCGGCGGACGGGUGAGUAACACGUGGAUAACCUACCUAUAAGACUGGGAUAACUUCGGGAAACCGGAGCUAAUACCGGAUAAUAUUUUGAACCGCAUGGUUCAAAAGUGAAAGACGGUCUUGCUGUCACUUAUAGAUGGAUCCGCGUUGCAUUAGCUAGUUGGUAAGGUAACGGCUUACCAAGGCAACGAUGCAUAGCCGAACUGAGAGGGUGGUCGGCCCCACUGGAACUGAAACGCCGACCAGACUCCUAAGGGAAGCAACAGUAGGGGAACUUCCGCAAUAGGGGGAAACCCUGCCGAACAACGCCACGUUGGGUGUAGAGGGCCUCCGAUCGGAAAACUCUGUUUUUAGGGAAAAACAUAUUUCUGAAGAACUGUACACAACUUGACGGUACCUAAACAAGAAGCCACGGCCGACUACGUG
rnacentral:rRNA from 1 species